rnacentral:rRNA from 1 species
GGGUUGUGAGGUUAAGCGACUAAGCGUACACGGUGGAUGCCCUGGCAGUCAGAGGCGAUGAAGGGCGUGCUAAUCUGCGAUAAGCGCCGGUAAGGUGAUAUGAACCGUUAUAACCGGCGAUACCCGAAUGGGGAAACCCAGUGUGAUUCGUCACACUAUCAUUAACUGAAUCCAUAGGUUAAUGAGGCGAACCGGGGGAACUGAAACAUCUAAGUACCCCGAGGAAAAGAAAUCAACCGAGAUUCCCCCAGUAGCGGCGAGCGAACGGGGAGGAGCCCAGAGCCUGAAUCAGCAUGUGUGUUAGUGGAAGCGUCUGGAAAGGCGCGCGAUACAGGGUGACAGCCCCGUACACAAAAGCGCAUAUGCUGUGAGCUCGAUGAGUAGGGCGGGACACGUGGUAUCCUGUCUGAAUAUGGGGGGACCAUCCUCCAAGGCUAAAUACUCCUGACUGACCGAUAGUGAACCAGUACCGUGAGGGAAAGGCGAAAAGAACCCCGGCGAGGGGAGUGAAAAAGAACCUGAAACCGUGUACGUACAAGCAGUGGGAGCACAGGUUUACCUGUGUGACUGCGUACCUUUUGUAUAAUGGGUCAGCGACUUAUAUUCUGUAGCAAGGUUAACCGUAUAGGGGAGCCGCAGGGAAACCGAGUCUUAACCGGGCGUUAAGUUGCAGGGUAUAGACCCGAAACCCGGUGAUCUAGCCAUGGGCAGGUUGAAGGUUGGGUAACACUAACUGGAGGACCGAACCGACUAAUGUUGAAAAA